ensembl:rRNA 5S_rRNA 5S ribosomal RNA
GUCUACAGCCAUACUACCCUGAAUGUGCCAUCUCGUCUGAUUUCAAAAGUUAAGCAGGAUCAGGCCUGGUUAGUACUUGAAUGGGAGAAGUGAAAU